CCGGCGCCGGCCCCGCACGGCCGCCGCCAAUGGCCGCGCAGUCCGCCUGCCGCCGCCGCGCUUGUUAGGCGGCGCGGGCGCGGGAGCAGGUGCCCAGCAGCAGGUGCCCGGCAGCCGCCCGCACCGCACCGCAUCGCGCAGGAGCGGAAGGGCUCGAGCGAGAGGCGCGGUCCCGGCUGUAACCAAGAAACUUUCCUCGCUCGCCGAGCCCUCUUCGAGCAGCACGGCGCUCCGCUGCCAGGGAGCUCCUGGCUCCGGUCCGGCCCCGCGCGGCGCGCCCCGGCGCCGUUCUGGUUGCGGAGAGGCGCUCCCGGGCCCACGGACCCCGCGCCGCGUCCGUGCCGGAGGUGCCGCCGCCAAAACCGGACUGGAGCAAAAGGGAUUCACUGUGAACUAUGAGAAAUGAAGCGCUGCAACAAAAGUUUUCUAAGUGGCAGAUGGCGUGCAAAAGUAAACUUGUAUGCAGAGAUUAAAAUCAACUGGAGUUGGUAGCAUCCUCUCUGGAAGUUAAGUAUCAUUCAAAGCCGGUCUCCAAGUGUGCAAACCGGUACAAAUUUUGGGAAAGGCUUUCACUUAUUUGGGCUGUUCUCACUGUGUUAACCUGGCAAAUCGCUCACUCUGCAAACGGGUGCCAAUAAAACCUUGCUCCUACUGGCGCGCCGGGGCGGUGCGGGGGUCGGGGUGCGCGUAGCCCAUGGCCUCGGGCCGUGCGGGAGCCGGUACCGCUGCGGGACGGGAAGCAGCAGCGCGGAGGCGGCUGGGGGCAGCGCAACCGCAACAAGGAGACGGGGGAAGGAAGACGGUCAGAGCGGCGUCGGAGAUAGCAGAAACAAUAACUCCUGCGAAGCCUGAAAUGGAGAGGGAGGAGCCACGCACAGGCUGCCAGGAGCUGUCCCGCUGGCAGCUUCUGGUCUCUGCUGUAUCGCGGCUGAACUGGGCACCAAGACAGGACAUAUGCAAAAUCAUUUUACUGUGGCACAAACACAAGAAAGAUGAUCUGGAAGAAAGGACAGGGGCCAGAGUUUCUGUCUCUUAUUCUCCUGCUCACCAUGCUGCAAACUGGCCGCCAUGAAUUCCAGGCAAUUAAAAAGGACAUGAGUUCCGAAGCAUUUUAAAAGGAGCUUUGCUUCCAAAUGGUGUUCUCAGAGGUCUACACACACAACUCUACCAACCACAAGUAGCUGACUGUCAGUGUGAAAGCUGUAUUCCCAUGUUGCACCAUAUACAUCAACUCACACCUCAAUUUAUCCGGUGUUAUGCAAUACAGAUGUGACAGAAACAAUCCAAUUUGACCUUUGACAACAUAUUAUUAGGUCAGUAUGUAGCUUUCUGGGUAACUUUUUAAAAAUCUGUUAUCUGACCUUUGUGUUUUUUUUUUCUGUGGGGAAGUAUUGCAAAAGCCAGAAACAAUACCGACAAUUCAUGAAAUAUUCAAGUGUACAGUCGCAAUCUUUUAAUAAAUGGAAGUGACCUUCAAAAGAGACAUCCCAAAGAUUAAGAGAACUUCUCCAUAGAUGGCAUUUGUCACUAAUCAAUGACUCGCAGAACUUAUACUCUUCCUAGAAAUGAAUACAAAAAAGAUCUUUCAGAAUUUUAUCACUUUAAAAGUAAAUUGUUCACAAAGCCCACAGAAAAGAGCAUUAAUGAGCUAACAAAACAACAGAACAAAACAUCGAACAAGAAAAUUGAAAGGCUACAUACCCUGUGCCUAUUGGUACCUAUGUCCAUAUUUAGAGAGCUAGAAUCAUCUGCAUCCACACGCAGUUCUCUGAGGCUAGAUGAUACUAUCAGAAUUGACUACAUUUCUUCAGCUGCAUUUGUAUGUCAAAAUACGUGGAACAUUUUCCUAACUGAUUUUCAUAGUCACAAAGAUAUUGGGCUCUAACUGGGUCACGGUAUUGGAACAGAUGUAAUCUCAGCAGAAUACUGUGAGAAAUCUGGGCUACAUUAAUGACUGAUCCAAUUACAGUGGAAAUCUCUAGAAAACCCAGAUUUACUAAGAACCAGGAGAUAAUUAUGAUGUACUUCUAGGGACAAGCAGAUGGACCAGCCAGUCUCAAACUCUGUAAGAAUAACAGAGCUGAAUGAGAGGUGCCCGUGCUGUUGCCUACAUAGUUGGAGAUAUUCCCAUUCUGAGAAUAUGAUGAAAACAGACGGAGACUUUCAGCAGACACCUGAGGGGACUGGAUCAAAACACAUCCCAUACUGGGAAGCAGCAUGCCUUAUGCCCUGCUGUGACAACAGGGUGACAGAGGAAUAGGUAUCCAGGGGAGAAAGAGAGAGCAGGAAUCAAGAAAACACAGGCAGCUUUUUGUCCAAGGAGGAUAUGUACAUGAAAGAGCUCCUUAUAAUUUAGUAUCAGGUCCUCUUGAAAAGUUAUGUUUUCUCUCCUGAAUAGGCCAAUAGAUGCCACCUUCCAAAUAGCAGCCUGAUACCACACCUAAGCAAACCCAAUAAUCUACCAUAGCUUUGCACCCAGAAAAAGAGAAUGAAAAAUACUUGAGAAAUCUGAGUAUAAACACCUCCUUUUACCAAUCCAAAGGCAGACAAAAUUUCAUAGCAUCCUUAUCUGUGAUCUUGAUAACAUCUUUCAUCAGAGAGAUGUGUCUCUACCUCUAUGAAAAUUACCUCUGUGAGUAGUCCCAUUAAGGUAAUUUGGAUCUAAGAGGAUGUAUGAUGUUAAACAUUUAGUUAAUUACAAAUGUUGCUAAAUCAAGAUUUUUUUUCAGAUAAAUAUUUUACCAGAAAAGAUAUAUUAAACAGUGGAAUGUAAUAUUUCUCAUUUAUAGAACUUGCUGCCAGCUCCGAGCUAGUAAAUAUUUACAUUUCAGGCACUUUGAUGGCUAAUGUGACCUUUCUGUUGCACACUUUACACCUGUGCUGUAUUUUAGUUUCAGUGUUAACAUUCUUUCUAGUCCAUCUUACAUUAACAAGCAGUAUUUAAAUAUAUGCAAAUUUCAUAUUUUAGCUGAUGUUUUAGGAACAUUUUUAAGGUCACCCUGUUUGAUCUAUCAUACAGACAUAGCAAAUUUAUGCACUAUAUAUCCUAUCUCUACUUGUUUUUACCUACAUCUGUCUUCUCUGAUUGCAUUUGAAUGGGCUUAUUUUCUACUUUAAAUAAAAGAUUUAUGCCUUAGCUGUCAGUUUGCCUUUAUUUGAAAAUUUAAUUUUGUUUCUAGAAGUCUAGAUUAACUUAUUAGAUUUAACUGUCCCUUGUGCUUUGCAGAGAUAGCAGAAGUAUAUUUUCCCUUGUGGAGAGAAUACAUAAACAAAAUGCUCUCAGCUUAAGAAUAAAGAAUGUUAUUACUUAGACCAAUACAACACAGUCGGUCCAGGAUACAAAAACUGAUGUUGUGAUAUUUUUUAAAUUUAUGAUGGCCAGCAGUGGGAACUGACUCAUAAACAUGACAUCUCACAAAUCCUGGAGCUUCCAAAACUUGGAAAAUGCUCUGCAGGAAAGGUAUGUUCCCCCAAAAUGUCACCUACCCUUAGGUUACAGAAUACCCUUUCAUGACGCAGUACCACUGGGAAACACAACUUGGUUCUUGAUACUCGUGGAUUUAUUUAAGUGAGCAACAAAUGAGAAUCUGUCCCACUGCUUCCAGUUAGUCAGAAGCCUGUUUAUUGAUUCAGUGUGCUAUUCCACAUCUUCAGUAUGACAUGUUCUUUAGUGUCUCUCAGUAGUGCUACAUUCAUAAUACUGUUCAUCAAGCCCUGGAAUUUCAGGGCUUGCCUGAAAGGAGAACAGGCUCACUGCAGUUGCUGCAUGUGGUCCUUGCAAUGCCCAAAACAGCUGCAUUCCCUGGUGGGUGGGCUGGGGUGUCUGGGGGAAGUUAAUCUUUUCAACUGUGUUCAUCCAUUUUGACCUUUUUCUCUAUUCUUCAUUUCUAGAAGUACCCGGGAUUCUGACCAAUUCUGUGAUUUUUCUCUUUAUUUUGCAACUUCCACAUAGACCUGAACAGAAUCUCUGUUUUUAAUCAAUCCCUACACUUUUUGUAAACUCCAAAAACCUACAGCUCUUGAUUCUGCACUCUCAAUAAUAUGCACUGCUUUUGAAAGGAACUGAAGUGUUCCCUCAUCAAUAAUGUUCAUAGAAGUGCCAGGAGAUCGCAGUAUAAGAAUAUCAGAGCAGAGAAAGAAGAAAAUUGAAGGAUCAGUAUUUACUUGGCUAUUCUAGCAAGCCUUCAGUCCCACAGCUGUUAACUGUAUCCUGAUUUACUUUGUUAAAUAGUGAACAUUACAAGCACGGGACUUUUGUGGAGAAACAGGGAUUCAUCAUACAAAUAUACGUUUAUGAUGGCCUUCAUCACUCACAAAAUAUAAGCAGAGAUAAAUGGCACAAAAGAACAUGAAGCCCUCUAUUCUGCCAGUCAGAGCAAUACAGCUGUUAUAUAAUAUGAUGAGCAGCGAUGAAGAAUAACGUGACCAGUAGUAAAAUAAUAACAACAAUAAAGACAUUAAGGCAAGCAGAACAGGACAAAACUGAUCCCAUUUGAUAGCCUUCAGUCUGUGACACCAUAUGUAUAAAGUGCCAACAGAUUCAAGCAAGGACAGUAAUUAGUCAGUCUUGGCAUCUUCCUAAUUAAAAAAUCAGUGAAAAUACCACAAAGCACAAUCUCCACGUGUACGAUACUGACAACACAAAGUGGAGACUUCACAAAGUUCUUCAAAAAUCUCUUCAGCUCAGAAACGCUCUCUCUGAGGAAUAUUCAUAAAUAUGAUCCAGGUAAAGAAUACAGAUGUAGCAUGUAACAACACUUUGGUGUGGUUUGAACACAUUGGUGGAGGCACCGGGCAGGUAACCAUCUGGCAGGGAAGGCUUAUGCUCAUCUGCUCUCUUGGUAGUGAGUUUCCCCACUGCUGAAGGGCAGAAGUAAAUCUAUUCCAGUCAUUCCCUUCUGUUGUGAUAGCAAAAACUUAUCAAGGAUGUGUUAUGUUAAAUCCUAUGACAGCAACCAUUUCAAAGCAUCAGACAAGACAGAUAAUAAAAGGGUAAAACCCACAAGGAAAUAAACCAUGCACUACACAUGUAAAGAUUUCUUUAUCAUGCUUAGGUAGAAUAAUCUAUUACUGUGACAAUUAUUUUGUUACAGAAAGCACCACCAAAAAACAAACUGAUUGUACAAACCACUGCACCAACGCAGCUGAAUUUUUUCCAGCUUCUCCAAAGACAGUAGUGUGGUUUUGAUUUAACAAGUAAUUAAUGAAUACAUAAACCCUGGACAGAACUUUAAUCUAUCCCGGUGCCAAAUAAUUAAUCAUUCAUUCCACGUUUAAUCCUGUUCUGAUAAAUGUAAUUAAUAUUUCAUCAUGGCACUGCAGAGUAGAAGAGUACCUGGGAGCAGAGAAAAGCAGCCUUCUAUUUCUCCCUCACUGCAACUCUGGAGUGAAAGGCACUGUCUACAUCUGACAGGUAAUCCAGAAUACAGUGUUCCCCUGCAGCUGUAAAUUAGGGUUUAUGCAUGGCAUACAUUGUGAUUGUAAGGAGGCUUUUCUUCCUCUGACCUAUUAUUAUUAAAAUAGCAAAACAAAAUAAAAACCAACAAUGAGAAAUAAGUCACCAGAGCUUGGUAAACCAUUUUUCUGAUCUGACAGCAUUUGGGAAACCAGUGCUUGCACCAAUGUCUUGGUCUGUACAAUGCCACUGAGCAUAUGCCAGGGCUGUGGACAGAGAACAAAGCAUGUGCAGAUUGUCUGCUUCUGUCCACAGAGAUCAGUGCUAUGUGCACAAACAAGUGAAUGAAGAUUUAAGUAAUAAUUUUACUGCAGGGAAACUCCAGCAUCUCUUUUGAAAACUUUAAGUGUAAUCAAGAAAUAUGUUAAUAGGUAGAAAAGUAGAAAAUUAAAUUGCAGGAAACCCUAUGCUUAUUUUGCAGGGUGUCACAUCUCAGGAACCCACAAAUUUCAGCAAAGAGUCUUGUGAAGAAGAUUCUAUAACAAACAAAUUGCAUUGGGAUCCUGCUGCCCAAUUACUCAGAAACAGUGAGGCAUCUCUUCACAGUUAUCUCCUUGCUCAGCAUUCUCCUGUAUAGCCACAAAUUGUUUUUGCUGAACAAAUUUUAACUAUACUUACAAUUAUAAUUUCCUCUCAUUCAAAUACAGGGAAAAAAAACCUACUGCAAUUAGUUAUCCCAGUUGCCCUGAUGAAUAUUUACAGUCCUUGCAAGAAACCCAGCUUGUGGUGUACGAGUCUCCCAGUGUCACACACUGACACUGAAAGGAGACUGUAAUUUAUCCCCUUCCAAAGAUCCUAUAUUAUGCUGCUAUCUCAGCUGUCAUUAAUCUAACCCUCUGUUAUGUCCCAUAUCAGUAAGAAGACAACUUGCAAAUUGGGGGGGGGAACGGGGGGGAGUGUCUCUGGCAGAGUAAGACUAAACAGAGCUACAUGAAAUCAAGUGAUUUGAGUCCAGGGGCCUGCCAGAACUAUUUUAAACACAAACUCAUUUUCACACUUGGUCACUGUUCAUUGUGGUGACUUCUAUCUGUAACUUCUAGACAGCUAUUCUAAGUAAUUAUGCUGGAAAGCAUUUGCACAUUUACAGAGAAUUUUGAUUAUGGAUAAUGGUUUUAUCAGCUAAGAUUCAUUUCAAAAUAUUUUGUUUUCCAAAUACUCUAAAAAUGCACCUAACCUCUUGCUACUCAAAUAGAAUCUAAAAUUGUUAUGAACCUGAGUCAUUCCCCUUCUCAAAGCACUUCUCAACAUUAUAAUAAAUGUAGAAAGCUCUAAGCACCUAGGAAGUACUAGUAUUAUGUUCAUAAGAAACUACUAAACUGGUUAGGAGCAAUGGAUCAUUGAGGCAAGGAUUCUGCUUCCGACACUCAGCAGCACAAGAAGCUUCAAAGGAAUAAAUCCCUGCCUGCAAUAUAACAUAAACAAUACCAAUUUUUACUUCUUGUGUUUCUGGAUUGAUUCAAAAGUUAUUUUGCACCAGAGCCAACUUAACAAAUGAUUGUAUACGCCACAUUUUUAACUUCUGCUUGCAGCAAUGGAUGCUAUAUACCCUUGUUCCAAAAGUCACACGGCCCUGAUGGCCAGCUGCUGCACUGUCACCUCAUUUCUGAAUCCCACAAGGAAACCUUUUCCAUAUUCAUAAACAGUGCAUUCAUUUCUAAGACCCUGGGAACCUUCACUGAAGCUCCACAUUAUAAUCCAAUUGAAUCUUUAUCUCCUAAGAUCAACAAAACCUUAACUCAUUGUAGAAGGUGUGGUGCAAUGUUUCAUAUACAUGCACACACACAUUAUUACAUCUUUCCUAUUGUAUACGGAUUUUAUUCAUUCAUCCUUAAGUCAUUCAUUCUGUUUGUUUAAAAUGGGAAAGAUUAUUCAUAGAUGUGAAUCUACCAUUCUGUGUUGGAUUUGAUGAGGCUGUAUUAUAAAAAACAUCCACCUGCUUUAUAAGAAAACUGACAUUGAAUUAAAACAGUAGUUAUUGACUAAGGUUAUAUCCAUUCAUGCUAAUACGACCUUCAAUUAGUGAAGCAAACACAUCUUGAGAUCCAGCCAUUUUAUGAGACACUUGCUAUAGGAUGAAGAAAUGCUGGUAUCCUUGAAAAAUUCCACUCUCAGGUGACCUUCUACUUUUCCAGGCUCAUUAGGCAAAACAAAAAUAAUUGUGCCGUUUCUUUCUGCUCUCUCUUCAGAAGGUUUUCAGUAAAUCUCAGAUUACAAGUAAUGAUUUAACCCACAAAUUCAUACUAAUGCAUAGCAGAUUAGACAGUUAACACAUUCAUUCCAUGCAGUUCCCCAGAGACGUUGGUUUACAGUGUUUUCUUUUACUUAGCAGCAGCUAUUGGCAUUUAAAUAGAAACCACUACAAAUCCACUCAGUUCAAGAUUUUUGAAAGAGUAAAUACCAUUGUGGCAUCUCUAAAUCAGCAAAGAAUGCAGUGGUCCCUCUUACUUUCAGCCACCUUUUUAGGGACUGGUAGUUUUCUCACUGAGAUGUCCAAACAGCAGCAAAGCUCUUCUGAAAGCUGGACUAACAUCAGUGCUUAAGUAGCUGAAUCAUGAGACUUUUUAUUCACAUUCAAAAAUAUAGCACCUUUGACAUGCAAGGAAGUAGAGAUGCAUAUUAUGCUCCUGUUUCUAAGGUCUAAUAUGUUUAAAGAAGUUUGUGGCUCCUAAAAAAGUAUUUGUCCAAGCCAGAAUGAAAAAUAACAAGAUGAUCAUUUUGAAUUUUCUCUGGUUUUUAUAUGAGCCUUUUCAGCCACAUGCUGCAGGCUACAAAGGAGUUAGAUACAAUGCUUAUUUUUAAACAGUUGUAUUUCUGUUAGGUCACCUACAGAGAAUUGAAUUAGAUAGAGAUGCUUAAGUAUACCUAAGCAGAAAAAAAAAUACCAAUAAGAAAUCAUAAGGAAGUAACCAUCAGAGCUAAGAACAGUGCAGACUUAAUGAGACUGAUAAGGAUGUUAAACCAGCUCUGAAAGACAAGAACUGGCUGAACAAAGGAGGACUUUCCCAGGAAAGGUCGAAGAGUUGGCAGGGCUGGAGGGGGAUGCCAAUGUGUACAGCUGGUAUGUGUUGGCACAGCUUGAUGAAGUCAGCUGAGGUAUAACAGCUGACAUUAAUUAAAGGUUUGGUUGCACAAGGCUAAUAGACAGAAUGAGAUAAUGGACUGAUACAAUCGGAUCAUGAUAGAUUCCCAAUGUAGGAGAAAGAAUCUGAAAUAAGCUAUGUUAUAUACAUUAAUACUCUCUCAUUUAGUUUGCUGGCAUACUGCCUUUUGUUUGCUAAACUAAAAAAAAAAGCUUGCUAAACAUCACUUUAGUUUGCAUAUAUGUCAAAUAUGUCCCAGUACCUUGUUUCUUUUGAAAGUUGCCUGCUCAUCUGAAACUAUUUCAAUUAAAAUUCCCCUGCAGCUCUGUCAUCAUGCACGCGUUCACGCUUCUCCAGCACUCUCCCAGGUAGGUGAGCACGGAGACAUUUGUGGGCCUUCCAGCAUGCCACUACAGCCCUGGUAACACUCGCAGCCCAUGAGCUUCCAAGGACAUAGAGCUCUCAUGAAUCAUACGAAAAAAGCUCUCUCUAAAUCAAACUUCAAGCUGGUAAAGGGCAGUUAGUCUCUUAAAUCACCCUUUGCUCCAAAGCUUUGAAGAGGUUUUCAUAACUUCAGCAAGCAAAUGUUUGCACUGCUUCCAUAAAAUCUCUUUCAGCCAGGGGAUCAGGCUGGACACCCAAACCAGACUCCCAUCCUGUGACUGGCUCAUGCUGAAAUUUAGCUCCCUAAAUACUGCUGUGACCACAAGACCGGUGCUUUUCACAUUUCUGAGUGGAAGUUCCUGAUAUUUACCAAUUCCGUUUCCCUAAACUACACGAACCGCAGCAGCUGGAAAGCAGGAGUCCGCGGGAACGUUCUGUACAACCCUCCCGUGCCCCGUUGGCGGCCAGAUCGCAGCCCGCAUCGCUGCUGCAGCACCAGCCCCACCUGCUGCCCCGCGCCGGCAGCUGCAGCCGGAGCCGGAGCCAGGCCAGACAGAGCGAGCCGGCAGUGCGCUCUGCAAAGCUCCUGCUGCUUUCGUGGGUUAGCGAUAUUUACGUGACAUUUUCUUGCACGGCAGUUCUAAUGCAGACUUGCUCUGCCUUAGCAGAAAGGAAUAAAACCAAUAAAGGAAAAAGGCUCUGAUAUGAAUGUAGGUAAGUGCAGUCGUUAAGGUAAGCACUCGAGUGGGGGCUGUUGAGCAGCCUCGCAGCACCUGUGCUGAGUGUCUCGGGGAGAUGGCAGACAUAGUGGACUAGGACAGCACGUUCACAGGAGUACAGCUGCAUUUCCUAGAAUGCUGUUUCUACAUUGCACCUUUGGAGCAAAGGAAUAUCUCAUUUUCCCGAGAACAUCUUCUGUUGAGCUGCCAACAAAAAGUUAGUUUGCAACUAAUUAAAAUAUGUAUAUACAGUGCUGCUUUCAUGCCCACAUGCAAUUUGCUCACAACUUGCAGGGAUGUGUGCCGGCUUUUCUUAAAAGGGAUUUUCUUCCUUUCACAGCUGUUUGACAGAAGACCUUCUGAUGUCCCACAGACCACAGCCUGAGAAACAGCCUGGCAGCUGGGGCUAUGGGGAUCCCUCAUUUAUCAGUUUUUUGAUUCACUCGAGUCAGGCUGAUACAUCUUCCUGGUUUCACUGCUUUUUGAUUUGACUUCUGUUUCCAGCAUCUGUAGUGGAUUCUUUUAUGUACAAUCACCUAAAACUGUGUCUUGUACACAGGUAGCAAAAGCAGCAGUUUGAUAGUGCGGUGUUCAUUUUGGCAGUGUACUUUAUCAAAGAUGUAUUUUGCCUGCAGCAAAACGAGCUGUCAGCUGUUACAAUGAACUGUCACAUAUUCACAUUUUAAUAUGAAAAAUAAUUAUUCCUCUGUUUCUAUUAAACAGCUACCUAUUCUUCAGGCUGGAAAUCAGAACUGCUUUCACAGAGUAUCCAGCUCGCUACUGAAAUUAUUUAAAUGGGUCGAGUGUAACAUUGCAAAUGCGAUCAAGGCAAAAAGCCAGUCAAUAAAACGGCCGGUUUUAUCCUAAUAAAACAGGGAGGCCUUUGCCAUUACUCUGUGGCAGACAGUUAAUUCUCCAGCUGUACGCAACAACUUCAGGACAUCUGGCCACUUAACCAGUGAGUAUGGGGUCCAGAAUGCCAGAGGACCCAUCAGUGAAAUAAUGAGUGGUCUGACUCACUUAUACUGAAGUCCCUGCACACAGCUCUGACAUCAGUGGUCAAAGCUAAAUUAACGUGACUGCAAAUGCUGGUCUCACUGCAUCCUCAGCACCUGCCUUAAGAUACAGCUGGGUACACCAAGAGCAGCAGUGGUCCCAGCUGGGACACAGACAUAACAGUCUCAGCCAAGACAGGGUGGCUGCCUACUGCUCUGCUCUGCAACAAGGCUGUGGCUUACCUGUAUCCUAAUUUAGGAUGAAGCACGAGUUCAAAAUGUAUGACAAACAUACAGUGCAGUCAAUACUUGGUACUGCCUCUGCGUAAAACAAUGAUUCUUUGCUUCAGUCACCCCAAAAGCAGCUCCAGCCCAGGCUGAAACAUCAACGGAGUUGCACAACUAACCCAGCCUGCUCCUCCCCCUGCAAGCCCUUCCGUGAGACCCCAGGUAGUCCUGCACACACAGAAAUCACCUUGGUUUAUCAAACACAUGAAACUAACUUUUGUUGCUAUAGUUCAGGGCUUAAAAAUAGACUUGACGUAUGGAUUUUCUGUUUUAUAGGCAGAGCUAAGGUUCAAUAUAUUGAUUUGAGCUGUAAGGCUUACUUCAUUCAGGGUCCAAUCAAAGCAUGUGGAUUUCUACAACCUCAGGUGCACAGUUUUGAUCUGACUGCCGGUGCAGAAGUUGUUAGACAAGCCUGCAUGAGCAUGUUAGCGGGCAAUGCUGACAUAUCUGCAUGCUUUCAUUCCUAAAAUGAUCCUAUGUCAUGUGCAUUUAGAGAAUUCGUUUCCUCCAGGAUAGCUCUGGAGAGCAGUUAAAAGAUACCUUCUAAUGAGGUAACUGCCCUCACUGCCGUUUGAUCAAGACUUAACGUCACUCCUUCCUGUGUGGUGAGUUUAAUGCAGGUAUCUUUGGUAUCUCACAAGAAAGGCAGUGAUGGACUUGGAAGGCCAAGAGGCCUCCUCCCCUACCUGUACACUCAGGGUCAGUUACAAGGAGGCUGGGCUAAUGCAUACGAAAUUUACAAUUUUAGUGAUAGGAAGUUGUUACCGCUUAUUUGUUUCAUUAUAGUAGUAAGCUGUCACACAGCAGCCCCCAGGCACACUCAGACUACAGAGCGCUUCCAAAAUACAGGAAUUAACCCAUCACACAGAGAAGGAAAAUAAGAUAAGGACACAGCAGAUCAGGGGUAAAAACAGGACAAGACCGCACAUAUCCCUCUUGCCAAGGUGAAUUCCUCCUCUACUGCAAUGGGCAACCGUCCAUCACCUACCAUUUUGCUUAUUGCUUGUUCAGUUUUGGAGAAGUCUGUCUGAUGAAAUGAAACAUCACCUCCAAGAAAUGAGGUAGCUGUUAAGUGAGAGUACUAGAUUCACACAGGCUUCAUGGCAAAUGCCUGAGGACUGAUCUAUUCAGCCCGGAAUGGAAAACAAUUUUGCUUUUUUUUCAUUCCCACACGGCAUAAGUCUUCCCUGUCUCUCUGUUGUGCUAGUGAAAGCAAAUUUCACCAGAAACUGAAUCUAUUUACAAAUAUUUUGAUAGAUUGAGACAGCUACUCAGGAAAAAAGAAAGAUUAAAUACAUGCAGAUAAGAUACAGUGUCACAUGAACAGCUGUUACACAGUCCCACAGCCUACGUGGACUUCAUUUUAUUUAUGUCUUUUAAAGAUUAUGUGGGUUUCCCUGUAAAAUAGAAACAAAGUGAACAGUAUUUCUGUUGGUAAUAAAUUAAAGAAAAAUCUCGGAUAAUUAAUCCUCGAAAAUGUGCAGUCUUGACUUUUUCUUGUUUUGGCAGGAAGACAGACAUGCAAAAUGUACAAGCACUGAUCUCGUAUACACUCACGUCUCAUUCUAUAGAUCUGGUUGGCAACUCCUUCUGAGGCUCGCAGUUUCUGACUGGAACAGGUCAUUACGUGUGCUCCUCAAUCCAUCACUUCUGAAGCAUCCUGUGAAGAAAUUGCCAUUAGAAGCCAGUGCAGCGAAACCAACUGUCUUCUAUCUAAAAGCAUGACUUGCAUUUUUGUAUCACAUCUCAUUUUUUUUAUUCCUAACAGUACCUAUCUAUCUGUAUAGUUACUUUCCUGUAGCAGCAGAGAUCAUGCUGUACCUACUUUUUCUGCACCAAUUACUGUUAUUUUAAGACUGUAUAGAAACGUCUACAAAUAAACAUUAGCUGAAAGUUC